rnacentral:rRNA from 1 species
UCGGAACGUGUCCUCUUGUGGGGGAUAACCAGUCGAAAGACUGGCUAAUACCGCAUGAGAUCGCAAGAUGAAAGCAGGGGACCCGCAAGGGCCUUGCGCGAGAGGAGCGGCCGAUGCCCGAUUAGCUAGUUGGUGGGGUAAAAGCCUACCAAGGCGACGAUCGGUAGCUGGUCUCAGAGGAUGAUCAGCCAGACUGGGACUGAGACACGGCCCAG